rnacentral:rRNA from 1 species
CCCUGGUGGCGAGUGGCGAACGGGUGAGUAAUAUAUCGGAACGUACCCGGCAAUGGGGGAUAACUAGUCGAAAGAUUAGCUAAUACCGCAUAUGCCCUGAGGGGGAAAGUGGGGGAUCGCAAGACCUCACGUUGUCGGAGCGGCCGAUAUCGGAUUAGCUAGUUGGUGGGGUAAAGGCCCACCAAGGCGACGAUCCGUAGCUGGUCUGAGAGGACGACCAGCCACACUGGGACUAAGACACGACCCAGACUCCUACGGGAGGCAGCAGUGGGGAAUUUUGGACAAUGGGGGCAACCCUGAUCCAGCCAUGCCGCGUGAGUGAAGAAGGCCUUCGGGUUGUAAAGCUCUUUCGGACGGAAAGAAAUUGCCAUCUCUAACAUAGGUGGUAGAUGACGGUACCGUAAGAAGAAGCACCGGCUAACUACGUGCCAGCAGCCGCGGUAAUACGUAGGGUGCGAGCGUUAAUCGGAAUUACUGGGCGUAAAGCGUGCGCAGGCGGCCUCUUAAGCCAGAUGUGAAAUCCCCGGGCUUAACCUGGGAACUGCGUUUGGAACUGGGAGGCUAGAGUGUGGCAGAGGGGGGUGGA